GAUGAACGCUGGCGGCGUGCCUAAUACAUGCAAGUCGAGCGAACGGACGAGAAGCUUGCUUCUCUGAUGUUAGCGGCGGACGGGUGAGUAACACGUGGAUAACCUACCUAUAAGACUGGGAUAACUUCGGGAAACCGGAGCUAAUACCGGAUGAUAUUUUGAACCGCAUGGUUCAAAAGUGAAAGACGGUCUUGCUGUCACUUAUAGAUGGAUCCGCGCUGCAUUAGCUAGUUGGUAAGGUAACGGCUUACCAAGGCAACGAUGCAUAGCCGACCUGAGAGGGUGAUCGGCCACACUGGAACUGAGACACGGUCCAGACUCCCACGGGAGGCAUCAGUAGGGAAUCUUCCGCAAUGGGCGAAAGCCUGACGGAGCAACGCCGCGUGAGUGAUGAAGGUCUUCGGAUCGUAAAACUCUGUUAUUAGGGAAGAACAUAUGUGUAAGUAACUGUGCACAUCUUGACGGUACCUAAUCAGAAAGCCACGGCUAACUACGUG
rnacentral:rRNA from 1 species